CCCAAUCCAAAAUUAAUUGUGAAAUAUCACGUUAAUAGAUUGACCGAAACCAAAAAUAUAUUUAAAUUAAUACUCUAUUUAUAAUUAGAAGUCUAUGAACAAAACGGCAAUACAUUUGACAGAAUCCAGCGAUAAAUAUUACGAAAUGAAGAAAAUAAUACAAAUUUAUAUUUAACGUAAGGUGACCAUACUAAUACCAUACCACAAGGUCCUCUUUAUGCAGGAUUAUACUUUUUUUCAGCUUUGCGUCUUCUUUUAGGACGCUUUUUGUCUUGUUUUUUUUUUUUUUUUUAUGUCU